GCUCUCAUCCUUUAAGAGGAAAAUCAGUGAGCUACGGUUCAGGAAGUUGCGGUGAAGAGGUUCCUAGACCAAGAUAUUUCUGGUGAAUCACUUGUAGAAUUCAAAAAAGAGGUUGUGAAAAUGCAAGAGUACUUUUUUGGUAAAGCACAAUUUGGAAUGGAAGAUGGUUUGCAUGAUGGUUUUUGUUGUUAGAAUUGUUUGAAUGAUUGGAAGGUAUUAACUAUUGCUCAUAGUUAAUUUUCCAAUCAUCUAGGUAUUAUAAUGUAAAAAUGAUAGGUGCAUAUUUGUUAGGCAUAUAUAAAACUUUUUGU